rfam:Chaetomium globosum CBS 148.51 scaffold_10 mitochondrial scaffold, whole genome shotgun sequence.
GAUUCCUUAACUUAACUGGUUAAAGUGCAUUUUUGAUAAGAAUGAUACCAGCGUUCGAGUCGCUGAGGAAUUA